AGCAGUUCAACUCUUCCUCUUUCAUUCCCUGGUUGUUACUAAGCACUUGUGACAUCCUUUGCCAUGUUGCAAAACACAAAAUUCUAGUGUUGAUCUUUAUCUGUGAAGUUGUGCUUGACUAAAUAAUCUGUUGGUCAAAGAAGUGCGAUGGGUGUGUAAUGGAGAAUUGUGAUGCAAGUUAUUGGUCAGCAUGACAUGGGUGAUACUGUGAUAACAGUUAUUUUAACAAUGAAAAGUGACUAAUGUAAGAGCCAUGUGUUAUAAGUUGUGUUUUGUCACAUAUUGAUAAGCCUUUCCUCCAUCUCAGCUGUCCAAAUUACCCACACAACAGUUUAUUGUUAUUUGCCUUUCAAAUCUCAUUCACCUCCUCCUUGUUGACUUGGCUCAUUGUUUAUUGUAGCCCCGCUGGGAAAGUAGUCAUGUAAUCAUCCGGACUUUGAUUUAUAAAUAUGAAACAUCAUUGGGGUGGCUCUGAUCACCCUGGGAGCAGUUCCGGAGGUUGAAGAUUUCAAUCCCAGACCAGAUUUCGGGGUUAAUCGGGGUUAAACGAUCCAUCCUGCAGCACAAUGGCUCAGUUGUUACUGUCACAUCAGAGCAGGAAGCUAUCUCAUCUCUAUGUCUUUCUGUGUGCAUGUUCUCAUGGUUCCUUUGGUUUUUAAAAACAUGUUAAUCUGGCAAACAGUUGACUUGUCCAUAGAUGAAAAUGUUUAAAAGCUUAGGAAAAACCUAGUUGAAUUAAGGUUUAGUUUUUUGUCAAACUGAUGUUUGCAGGCCUAUGAAGGAAAUUUCACACUCGAUUAAAGAUAAGUCAACAAUGAGAUGUGAUAUUGAGUAGACUCAACUUAAUAAAGUUGAGGCAAUUAAGUGACAUGUAAUAUUAUUGAGUAGAUAUCAAGUCCUUUCAUACUAAUUCAAAGAUAUUAAAUUAUUUAUAUCAUACUUAUUAUUAAAUCUAAAUCAGUUUUUGCCAGAAAUUAAGUUAAUGUGAAUCAAAUUUCCUUGCAGAAUUAAUUUGGGUUUAUUAUAUACGUAUACUAACAUACGCUCACCAGCCACUUUAUUAGGUACAACUUGCUAGUACCAGGUCUGACCCCAUUUUGCCUUCAGAAUUGCCUUAUUCUUCAUGGCACAGAUUCAACAAGGUGCUGGGAACAUUCCUCAGAGAAUUAUGUCCAUAUGGACAUAAUACCAUCACGCAUUUGCUGCAGAUUUGUCGGCUGCACAUCUGUGAUAUGAAUCUCCCAUUCCACCACAUUCCAAAGGUUCUCUAUUGGAUUGAGAUCUGGUGACCGUGGAGGCCAUUUUAGUACAGUGAACUCAUUGUCAUGUUCAAGAAACCAGUUUGAGAUGAUUGGAGCUCUGCGACAUGGCGCAUUAUUCCACUGGAAGUAGCCAUUAGAAGAUGGGUACACUGUGGUCAUAAAGGGAUGGACAUGAUCAGCAACAAUACUCAGGUAGGCUGUGGCAUUUAAAUGAUGCUAAAUUGGUACUAAGGGGCCCAAAAUGUGCAAAGAAAAUAUCCCCCACACCAUUACAACACCACCACCAGCCUGAACCGUUGAUACAAGGUAGGAUGGAUCCAUGCUUUCAUGUUGUUUACGCCAAAUUCUGACCCUACCAUCUGAAUGUUGCAGCAGAAAUCAAGACUCUCCAGACCAGGCAACAUUUUUCCAAUUUUCUGUUGUCCAAUUUUGGUGAGCCUGUGCCAAUUGUAGCUUCAGUUUCUUGUUCUUAGCUAACAGUGUGGUCCUCUGCUGCUGUAGCCCAUCUGCAAGGCAUCUUCAAGGUUGAAUGUGUUGUGCAUUCAGAGAUGCUCUUCUGCAUACCUCGGUUGUAACGAGUGGUUAUUUGAGUUACCGUUGCCUUUCUAUGAGCUCGAACCAGUCUGGCCAUUCUCCUCUGACCUCUGCCAUCAAUGAGACAUUUUCCUUCUGAGAACUGCCGCUCACUGGCUAUUUUCUUUUUUUCGAACCAUUUUCUGUAAACCCAAGAGAUGGUUGUGUGUGAAAAUCCGAGAAGAUGAGCAGUUUCUGAAAUACUCAGACCAGCAGAUCUAGCAUCAACAAACAUUCACUUAAAUCAAAGACAGAUGUCACAGAACCCUGCUAACAAUCAGAAAAGAACAUACUGUAUCUCUACACAUAAAUAUUUGUUUAUUUUAUAAGGAUAGAUGGCCUAAAUGAGCAUAGAAUAGAUGAAUUCCUCAUUAUAGCCUAAAGAUAAUUUGCAGGGACAAACAACAUCAACAAACAACAUCACUUAAAAUACAUGAAUAUAGUGGAAAAUAGUUCAUUUGCAAAAAUAAAGUAGAAAAUACAGAUUAAUUAAAUAAAAUGGGAGAAGGGCAAUGCUUUUCCUUAUUAAAUGAACAGGCUUUAAAAUAUAUAUACUGUAUAAAGUGCAAUAAAAUAAUCACAAAUGCAAUUAUACAAUAUAUAAACAAUUAAGCAGAAAUGCAAAUUACAAUAAAAGUAGGGGAAAAAAAAGAAAGUUCUGGGACCAGAUUGUUCUUCUCUGCAUGUUAACUCACACUUUCAGCUGUGUAAACAUGGAUUUCAGAGGAUCCCAGGUUAAAACAAUAUAACAAUAUGAGUCCCAAAGAACAGAGAAAACCAUCUGUCCAAAGGAAGAUUUCUGAGAGAUACUGAACAUCUUCCAACUAACAGGCUGAGGGCUCUAACUGUGCAAAUACAAAUAUUUUAGACCCCGCAGUAAGCAGUGUAGCGGUAAGCGCUUACCGGUAAAAGUGUCUUUGUUAUUAGAAAGAUAAGAAGAAGGUUAAUGGCUGAUUUAACUUAUCUAUACGUGGGAAAGUGCUCUGUGGGAACAAGGAUUCAUGUGAGUGAUACAUGAUCAAUAUUAUAUGGGACUGUGCUUAGUGAGUGACGUCAUGCACGACUCUUGCAUUGAUGAAACAGGCACAACUUCCAAGGGCAAACAUGUCUCAGCAUAAGUAAGACAUUCCUACACACGCACAAGUUCCUUACAAGGAAGUGAAAGCUAAGAGAAGUGGCUUCUGAGGAAAAAUGGCUGGAUGACAAAAGCGUGUGUAGAAAUCCAGAAACUUUUACUGUUUUUUUUUUUUCUUUUUUACCAAUUCUUCGGAAGUCUGGCAGGCAUCCACCUAACUAUGUAUAAAUAGGAGGUGCAGAAAACAUGGGGCUCACAGUCACACACACUCAGACAGCCUGAAGGGAGAAUAAGCACUACUGAGGAGAGAGGAAAUUGCUGCAAAAAACAAGACUUUGACUCAAAACUUGCAGGGCUCAUUUUUAAAACCCAAGACAAACAUGAAUACUAUAAUCCAGUGCAUCGUUCUCUUGGCCUGUGCUUCCAUUGGCACUUCAAGAGUUAUUAUGACCAGUUGCCAAUGUGUAAAAACAAACAAAACUGUGGAUCUCUCUCGCAUCGCUGAUAUCAAGGUUUAUAAUCCUCGUCCACAUUGCAGCAAGCAAGAAAUCAUUGCGGUACUGAGACAAGGUGCUGGUUUCACUUCACGGUGUCUUGACCCCAAUGAAGAAUUGGUCCAAGCAAUAGUGAAAACAGUCAAAUUGCAGAAGAUGCAACAAGCUGCUAAGAUGAACAGCCUCAGCCCAAAAAAAACCACCAAGUGAGCCGCAACGGAGCCACAACUGUCAUAAUGCAGAUGGGUCGUGUUUGUCUUUGUUACAACUCAACCAAGAUGACAGUUUAUAAGAGGAGAGAGCAGCACACCUUCCCAAAUGUUAGGGUGUAGCAGAUGUAAAAAGAGGUACUGAAAAAUGUGACACUAUUUCAAUACAUGUAUUUUAUAAAGAAUGUGGAUUUUGCUCAGUUUUGCACAUUGGCAGCUGAAACCAGUGGCCAGUUAAAUAGAAUAUAUAAGAGUUCGUAGUUAAAUGUAAGAGAGUUAAAUGUUAAUAUGCCAACACCCACACCUGAGUGUUGGCAUAUUUAGGAGACAGUACUGGAAGUCAGUACAGAGAUCAGAGACGUGAAGUUCUUCCUUCAGUUUGUAAUUUACAUGCACUGAUCAUAUGUUUGAUUUGAUUGUAAUUUUCCACCUUACAUAUUGUUUUUAUUCACUGUAUCUUGCAGCAAAUCAGAGCAGUUUGUGAUCUUUCAAACUUUAUGUACACAUGUUGUUUACAAGGUCAUUCAAGCCAACAUAUAAUAAUGUGAAAGACUGUAAUGUUAAAUAAGUGUUUUAAGAAAUUAAUGAUGAACAGUGAAGUUUUGUGUUUCAUAUUUUGCUAUUUUAAUUUUUUUUCUGUAUUUUAUAUGUAUUUACCACAUGUGUGCCAUGUUUGUUUUUUUAAAGGAUGAAAUCACAAUGAUAACUGAUGAUGAUGAUUGAUUCUUGACAUGUGACGCUGUAAAUGAAGACUCCAAAACUGCAAUAAAUCUGAUUUUUUAUGAAA